GGCUUGGCCGGCGGGUCCGCCUCACCGCGUGCACUCGCUCGGCCGGGCCUUUCCUUCUGGCAAACCCCAUGCCCUUUACUGGGUGUGGCGGGGAACCAGGACUUUUACUUUGAAAAAAUUAGAGUGUUCAAAGCAGGCAUAUGCUCGAAUACAUUAGCAUGGAAUAAUAGAAUAGGACUU
rnacentral:rRNA from 1 species